rnacentral:rRNA from 1 species
GACGAACGCUGGCGGCGUGCUUAACACAUGCAAGUCGAACGGAAAGGCCCUGCUUUUGUGGGGUGCUCGAGUGGCGAACGGGUGAGUAACACGUGAGUAACCUGCCCGUGACUUUGGGAUAACUUCAGGAAACUGGGGCUAAUACCGGAUAGGAGCUGCUGCUGCAUGGUGGGGGUUGGAAAGUUUCGGCGGUUGGGGAUGGACUCGCGGCUUAUCAGCUUGUUGGUGGGGUAGUGGCUUACCAAGGCCUGGACGGGUAGCCGGCCUGGGAGGGUGACCGGCCACAGUGGGCCUGGGGUGCGGGCCAGACUCCUACGGGAGGCAGCGGUGGGGAAUAUUGCACAAUGGGCGGCAGCCUGAUGGAGCAACGCCGCGUGCGGGAUGACGGCCUUCGGGUUGUAAACCGCUUUCGCCUGUGACGAAGCGUGAGUGACGGUAAUGGGUAAAGAAGCACCGGCUAACUACGUG